GAAGCAACGCCUGACACUCGGCCCUGUGACCGAGGUCUGGGGCGUCGACUAAACUUCGCCCAGACCAAUGGGAGUUCACGGUGAAACUUUGUAAACAACUCUUACACGCUGAGUUAAAGCUCCUCUGCCGUGUUUACUACGAAAAAAUGUGCGACGGUGCUGCACCCGGAGGAGCCAAACAUCCCAAAAAGCAGACGGCCAUCCAGAUGUUGAAAUCAAACACCACUCAAACAGUAUUUAUGAAGACAAGAAAAAUAAUGCAUUGCAAAGCAAAAAGAAGCAGCACCAGGAAGCCUGUUUUGGCCCUGGGUAGGACCUUCAUUCAGGCUCAGUCCAGGUACCCCUGAGUGACGUAAUAGGCUCAGGGACCAGUGGGGAUCUGAAACCAGUCCAAGUUUGAAAUGGAUGGAAUCCAGCCGGCGUUGUACGAUCAGGAGCUGAACACAGAAGAUGUUACACUGAGUGGCAGCUGUGCUCGGCCGCCGCUGUACAGUGCGCGGUUCUUCGGAGGAGUCAACCUCACUGCUCUCCAUCCAUCCACCCCAUUGAACUGCCAGCUCUGGUGUCUGUAAGGCGGGGAUUUACAUUUUCUCAGGACAGGCAGCCCGUGGAGAGAGGCCUGCUGGCAGAUCAAAGGCCCCGGCUGUAAAACGAUCUGAAAGAGUCCGGCAUUAGCAUCCAUCAGGGUACCUUGAAAGCUCCCUGAUCAGCCGAGAGGGAAGCUGAGGGCCCCCCAAAGUGAAAGCCCAGUCUGGAGAGGGGUGAUGGAGGGGCGGGGGGGAGAGGGAGAAAGAGGGAGAGGAGGAGGAGAAGGAGGAGGAGGAAGGGAGGAAAAUUCCCAUAGCAAGCUUCAGAUGUUAUGAUUUCUCUAUUGGAUUUGUCUUCUCCCUCUGUCGUUCUUCCUCUAUUUUUCUAACUUCUUAUUUAUAGCGCUGAGGUUUAGAACACCCCCCCCCCCAUCUGUGCACCAUCUCCACGCAGCUCACCAAGCCCAGCGUUUUACUACUCCACCCUGGUGUCUACACACAGGGUCAUGUCUGGUCUGGUCUGGUAUGGGAAGCGGAGCGAAAGAUGGAGAGGGGAGGAGGAGGGGGGAGGAGAAAGAGAAACCUGUCUCGACUUCAUGUACGGUGACUCUUUUCUUUCGGAAAAAUAAAUAAAUAAAAAUGGGAGAAUGAGAAAUGGCAUCAGUGUGGAGGCCUUGAUAGGUCCCUAACAUGUGCGCUAGGCAUCAACGUGUGACCUGCAUUCCUGGUGUGCUCUUCUCAUUGCAUGAAUCUUAAAAAAAAAAAGAAAGAAAUCUGCAUCUUUCAGGUUGAUUUCAUGUGCUAGAGUUUCCUCCCGAAAUCUGAUUUAUUAAUACUGAGACUUGUCACCUCUCUUUUCAGCCACAGCACGUUGCACACGAGCUUCCAUCAGUUUCACUUUUGGCAAAUGUACAAAGUCAGAGCGUCAAAGUCACAGAGUUUAUGAGGGUGUGAACAUACAGUGUGACUCAUUGUCGGUCCGUCUUAUUUGACAUGAUGUAUAAUAGAAUGAUUAACAUUUCACUGCUGACUUCCUCUCAGCGGCUUUACUGUAGCACAAAGUCUGGUUGUAAAAGGUUCCAUGAAUGAUUGAUCCAUGAAUGAGUCCGAAUUUUAGGGAGGCCGGUAGUUCUGCCUGCGUUUCCCACAGUGGACCGGCCCAAACAUUCACUGGUCCUGGUCCGGUUUGAGUUAUGGUUGGAACAGGUUUCCUGGUGGAUGUGGAGAAAGGAGUUUGCUUCUCUUCAUUUCACGAAGAACAGGUCGUCCGCUUGUUGCCAUAAUGGACCGCUUUGUGAGUGUUAAAGCAGGGGUCUGAUGGAGGUCAGGGACCCCCUUAUGUUCCACAUUAAACUUGGCUUAGUGCUGUUUAUAAAUAUACAUUAUCAUUUUGCAUUCAAUAUUAAACUAUUCAAAUAAUACACAGGUUCACUCAAAGAUAACUGCCUCCAUUUAUCUCUUUACUAAAAUAUGUGUAUUUACAAGAAAUUUGUGGGGGGAAAACUGAAAAAAUAUAUAAAAAACGUCUAAUCAACCGAAGAUUUUUGGACUGCUCUGCAGAAUCUCCCCUGUUGACGUGCGUGCUAAAGCAUUUUAGUAUGAGUUUUAUUAGGGGUGUAACAAUAUAUCCAACAAUACAAUAUUACAAUUAAAAAAACACUGAUCAGCGACAAUGUCUUUGGCCACUGACAGGAGAAGUAAAUAACAUGGACCAUCUCGCGACAGCUCAAUGUUCCGCUGGGAAACACGGGCACACACACAAAAAUGGUUUAGGGAUUACUCAAAAAACACGAAGAACAGCACAAAGUUUUGUGACCUGGCCUCCAUAUUCACUAGAUCCCAAAGUAUCUGUGGGAUGAACCACAGGGGACCCUCCCCUCAACCUACAGGACCCAAAGACGCCCCUCUGCUAAAAUUCUGGACACCCUCUGAGGGUCCAUGUUCUCUGAUGAGUCACAACUGUUUUGGAGGAACAACACAAUAUUAGGAAGGCGGUCAUAAUGUUACAAUUUAAUCUCAGUUUAAUUGUAGGACCGUGAGGAAAGCUACAACAUCAUGUGGUUAUUUCACUACUACAGCUCCAUUCUGCUCUGAUGCAGGCUAACUCCAUUCUUAUCAAGUCCGACCACGGCCUUUAGGUUUCUUUAUGGGGUGAUUUUUCAACAGAUAUUACUCAAAGAGACAAACCCCCGUCCUCUUUUGCCUACAGAGACAGGCUCAGUGGGAGAAUGGCAAAUGAAGUUGAUCGUUUUGACAAACGCUCCAUCUUUGAGUUUUAGAGCUAAUGUGAAACAGCAUUCUGGUUUUCCUGUUUCAAGACGUGACUAAGAGAUGACGAGGACCUGUCAGAGCACUUUGCAAAUACUGCCAAGCUACGAUAAAGGAAUUACUGCGUAUCCAACAUGAGAAGAUGUUGACAAAACUGUAGCGACAACCUAGAGGAGGGUGCUUAAAUCAGACCAUGCCUCGUCACGGCCUGAGAUCUGAAGAGCUAACAAGGUAUAUUUUUCAUGUGCAUCUGUUGUGGCUCUUUAAUUUAACCUAAGAAGCAAAGCAGAAGCACCAGAAAAAGACUGGCGCACAUGAUAUGUUCUAUAAAUUGUAUCAUGGGCCUUUAUCGUGGUUUUAUUGACGCGCGUUCAUCCUAUUAUAAGGCAACAAGUUGCUUUCUAACUUUAACCGUAAUGUUCGUGCAUAAAUUAUCCUAAUCUUUUGCAGAAUCACCCAGUUUUGACAUUUGAACCUGCAUUUUUUUUUAAAAAUAUAUGUCAAAUUAUAAAAAGCGAAAAAAUCAAGAAAUAGAUUAGAGGAUUUUUUAGCCCUCUCAGUGAAAGAAUAAGGCGACCCAUGGAGUUAAACAAGCCUUCAACCAGUCAGUGUGUAGGCACACAUCCAUGUGGCCGCUGCCAAAGUCUUGUGGUGUCAUACGUAUAAAGCACAUCCACAUAAACCCCCACACAGUACACAGUACUUCCCACACAGGAUCACCCAAACACGCACGCUCCCUGGUUGUGUGCCUCAGUGUGCAGUUUGCUGACAUGUGUGGAGCCUCCUGUGUGCAGGGCCAGGGCUGCAUGCCACUGUCUCAGCUCAGUAAUGGAUGUCCCAUUUGUUGCGCACACACACACACACACACGCGCGCACACACACACACACACGGACAGAAAGACGGAUGGACGGACAGACAGACAGACAGACAGUGGCGGGGUUCAGCUUGGCUGUCCUGUCCACCAGAGGAUGAGUUCCUCCUCUGUUUAGGGAAAAGGAUGUGAUCUCACUCUUUAAAAAUCCAACCUAUGUCGCUUGCCACUCAUGACUUAAUCCAGGCUUCUCCUUUGUGCAAAGCGCCCUCCCCUUCCCCUCUUCUCCUCUUACUUUCUCUUGCUCUUUCUGCCUCUUCCUGUAUCUUUUCUGCGUGACUGUCUAUCAGUCUGCUAGCUUAUUUCCUCUCUGUACUGCUGACGCCGAAAAGCUAUGAAAGGAAACGGAGUUUGCGUUUUUUAAGGUAGAUCUUUGAGGCGCGCGCGACACAUGCGUGCAUACUCUAAAAGUGAAAGAGAAAAGCCCGUCACAUAUUUUGAGCACUUUGCAGAAGUUUUGAGUUCUUUUAGUGGUUCACGUUCCAUGUUGACCAGGUGUCCUUCUUUAUGCUGGAACGCGCAGCACUUUUAGUCCCACGCGUUGUUGAGGGUCAACACUGCAGGAAAGAUGCUUUUCUAAAAUCAGUCUUUUAUCCCAGAGCAGAUAUUACGGCGAGCUGUCGUCUGCACACACAUGGGUCAGGCGCGUGUUAACCUGUCACCUUCUUAACCCUUCUCCAUCGGGGAGAUCUGCACGCGACCGUAACCUCAUAAGCUAUGCUAAUUUAUUCAGAAUAUAAUGGAAAUGCAGCUACGACUAGGGUGGCCAUCUCCACAACACCAAAAAGGAGGACACUUUUAGUGAAGCAAGAAAAAUGGCAGCACAGGCCUGCAGGAAUCUAGGUAGUGUACUCCCCACCACAUUCCAUGAUAACAACAGCAUCAUGAUGCAGUGAUUCUGAGAAACGCUAUGCAUUACAAGAUAAUCUGAUCCAUGAUUUAUCAUGAUUUAUAUGUAAUAGAAGAGGAAAAAUCAUUCCUGAGAAUGAAAAAAGGUAUUUGGUUACAGCAUUUGUAUUUAUUCAAAAAAGUGCAGUGCCGUACUGCUGUUGCUAAUAAUUUUUAUUUUAUUAUUAGACCUUUAUUUAGCUAGGUGAGCUCACUGAGAUAGUGAAUCUCUUUUGCAAAAGCGACCUGGCCAUGAGGCAACCAAUUACAAUACAAUUAGAAUCAUUCAUACAUCAUCGUACGUCGUACAAGUAAAAAUCAGCAGGUUUGUUAGGCUCGGAAUGGGUUGAAAGUAGUGACAAACCGCAGUCAUCAAGUUGUUUCUCUUUGAGAAUUGCAACAAAGCUGUCAAAUGGGAUCAAUUUUAAGGCAGUCUGGAAGGACUUCUAUGCAUAGGGAGCAGCGUAGCGAAAUGACCUUUUUCCCAUUUCUGUGAACCCUCAAAGAAACAGUCCAUGUGAGGAAGUCAGAUUAUCGUAGGGUAUAGUCUCCUUGGUUCCUUAUCAAGUCAUUUCCUAGUCAGGACGGGACCACACCAAGGAGAGCUUUAUAAAUAAAAGUCAUCCAAUGUGUGUGUCUCCUGUUGGGCAAUGAUGACCAUCCUGCUCGUUGAUGCAAAGUGCAAUGAUGGGUCAGAUUUGUCAAACCAGUGACAAACCAAUGCACAGUGAUAUACAGUGUCCAGAGAGUGUAAACAGGUGGUGGAAGUGUGCAUAUACAUUAUGUCACCCCAGUCAGUGGGAGAAAGGUUGCCGACACAAGAUAGAUAUCUUCUAGCUGCACAGGUUUAGAGAUUAGGCUUAUAUAUGAGGUCUGACAGACAGGUGUUGAUCGCUAUGGAAACUCAAAUACCCAUCAGGCGAAAUCAUUUCUAUGUUCUUUUGCGUGUUCUUUGGACCACUCAGAAAUGUUUGAGGUCCAUCUUUUCGGCAUGUUAAUAACCUUCUGAUAACGUGAUGCUAGACGCAACCGGCACAUGCAGGUUGUUCACGUUUUCACCCAAUGAUCUAUCGAAAAAUCGUGUGACACCGCUUUUAACUAAUCAUUUUCUUUUGCCAAACUUUCGUCAGACCAGAAGUCUGACGAAGACCAGGACAAUGUGCUGCAUUGUGUUUACAUGCAACUACAAAAAGGAGGACAAAUAAGCGUCUUGAGGCUGCGCUGGAUGCCGGACAGGGCGUUUAAAUUCCAGACUGUCUGGCCUAAAUCUGGACGUACGGCCACCCAAGCUACAACUAGGACUAAGACUAGGAAACCACUUCUAAAUGAGUAAAACUGAUGGAAGUUAAUUCAUGGUAGAGUCCAAACAGCACAGUAGACCUACAUGGAAUCCCAUUCCAGGAGAUGCUAAAGUCGGCAUUCAUUGAAUAUGUUGAAUAAUACCUGUAUGGGUGAAGUAUGUGUAAAUAAGAGAAUGUACGUGUACGUGAAAACAUGGAAACUGAGGACAGGUCAUUUGUUGCACUCUGAUUGGCUGAGGAACACGAGCAGGGUCGUGUUCAGGCAUGGAAGGUAGGGAUGAGACAUGUACCCAGUGGACUAUUGAGAAAUAUUCUACCACUGCCCGAUAGCAUCUGCACCCAAACUUAGUCAGAGCUAGGUGGAAAUUAAGAUGUGAGAUAUUUGCAGGCCUUCCAGCCCCGGCGUCGGUUUAGCACGUACACAACUGACAGAUCGCGAAAGUCUUUGUGAUAUCAGAGAAACAUUUUGGCAAAAUGGAGCUCCCGCUAAAGGAAAAGGUGACAGUCCAAAUGGUAAAUGUGCUGUUGCUAAUUUGCCAAUUUGUGUCCAGUCCAGUCACUGGCCGACCUACAUCUUUAAGGCUGAUGUUAUCACAGUGCUUUUUUCGUAGCGUAUGACUGAGUCAUAUAAGUGUUUGAGUUGGCUGCGUGGCAAAGAACACGUAAGCAACACGUCUAUCUCUAUAUCUAUCUAUCUAUCUAUGUGUCUGGCACUUAUUCUGUCUUACCAUGUUUCCCUUAGCCUUUAUUUUAUUUUGCAUGACUCAGCUGUUUUCUGAUCCUGUUUAUUUAGUGCAUGCAUGAUGAGAUGCAUGCCAAAGUACUGGUUCCUUAAUGGUCGGGUUUAACGGGUUACUGAGCACAGAAUGAAAUUAAGGAUGAAUAUUUGUUCAAUUUCUGCUUUGUUUUGUUUGGCCAAAAGACAUUGUCACGAUACUGUCAUCAAGCAUCGCACAAAGCAAUGGUUACCUGAACAGGGACAUAGUCAGUAGAUUUUGAUUCUUUUCCCCAAAAGGCGUCAAUCACCUUAAAAAACUUUGUGCUGAUAUAAGAUAAACGCCUUUUUUAUGUCAAGUUCAAACAUUUAAGGGAUAUGUCUCGUCAUUUCAGUGGAGAAAGUUGCAUAAAAUGAUCUUACAUUACUGUAUAUAUACAGCAGAACAAGCUUUUUGACAAACUUUUGAUUAUGCGCCGUGCGUGCAUGAAGAUUAAAUGUCAGCUCACCUUUGUAAUACAAUUUCUAUCUGUCUUCAAUAAACUUGUGUUACUUGUUACUAAUUA